rnacentral:misc_RNA from 1 species
GAUGAAGAACGUAGCGAAAUGCGAUAAGUAAUGUGAAUUGCAGAAUUCAGUGAAUCAUCGAAUUUUUGAACGCAUAUUGCGCCCUUUGGCAUUCCGAAGGGCAUGCCUGUUCGAGCGUCAUUUCAACCCUCGACCUCCCCUUGGGGAGGUCGGCGUUGGGGACCGGCAGCACACCGCCGGCCCUGAAAUGGAGUGGCGGCCCGUCCGCGGCGACCUCUGCGCAGUAAUACAGCUCGCACCGGGACCCCGACGCGGCCACGCCGUAAAACACCCAACUUCUGAACGUUGACCUCGAAUCAGGUAGGACUACCCGCUGAACUUAAGCAUAUCAAUAAGCGGAGGA